AAAUUGAAGAGUUUGAUCAUGGCUCAGAUUGAACGCUGGCGGCAGGCCUAACACAUGCAAGUCGAACGGUAACAGGAAGAAGCUUGCUUCUUUGCUGACGAGUGGCGGACGGGUGAGUAAUGUCUGGGAAACUGCCUGAUGGAGGGGGAUAACUACUGGAAACGGUAGCUAAUACCGCAUAACGUCGCAAGACCAAAGAGGGGGACCUUCGGGCCUCUUGCCAUCGGAUGUGCCCAGAUGGGAUUAGCUUGUUGGUGGGGUAACGGCUCACCAAGGCGACGAUCCCUAGCUGGUCUGAGAGGAUGACCAGCCACACUGGAACUGAGACACGGUCCAGACUCCUACGGGAGGCAGCAGUGGGGAAUAUUGCACAAUGGGCGCAAGCCUGAUGCAGCCAUGCCGCGUGUAUGAAGAAGGCCUUCGGGUUGUAAAGUACUUUCAGCGGGGAGGAAGGGAGUAAAGUUAAUACCUUUGCUCAUUGACGUUACCCGCAGAAGAAGCACCGGCUAACUCCGUGCCAGCAGCCGCGGUAAUACGGAGGGUGCAAGCGUUAAUCGGAAUUACUGGGCGUAAAGCGCACGCAGGCGGUUUGUUAAGUCAGAUGUGAAAUCCCCGGGCUCAACCUGGGAACUGCAUCUGAUACUGGCAAGCUUGAGUCUCGUAGAGGGGGGUAGAAUUCCAGGUGUAGCGGUGAAAUGCGUAGAGAUCUGGAGGAAUACCGGUGGCGAAGGCGGCCCCCUGGACGAAGACUGACGCUCAGGUGCGAAAGCGUGGGGAGCAAACAGGAUUAGAUACCCUGGUAGUCCACGCCGUAAACGAUGUCGACUUGGAGGUUGUGCCCUUGAGGCGUGGCUUCCGGAGCUAAGGCGUUAAGUCGACCGCCUGGGGAGUACGGCCGCAAGGUUAAAACUCAAAUGAAUUGACGGGGGCCCGCACAAGCGGUGGAGCAUGUGGUUUAAUUCGAUGCAACGCGAAGAACCUUACCUGGUCUUGACAUCCACAGAACUUUCCAGAGAUGGAUUGGUGCCUUCGGGAACUGUGAGACAGGUGCUGCAUGGCUGUCGUCAGCUCGUGUUGUGAAAUGUUGGGUUAAGUCCCGCAACGAGCGCAACCCUUAUCCUUUGUUGCCAGCGGUCCGGCCGGGAACUCAAAGGAGACUGCCAGUGAUAAACUGGAGGAAGGUGGGGAUGACGUCAAGUCAUCAUGGCCCUUACGACCAGGGCUACACACGUGCUACAAUGGCGCAUACAAAGAGAAGCGACCUCGCGAGAGCAAGCGGACCUCAUAAAGUGCGUCGUAGUCCGGAUUGGAGUCUGCAACUCGACUCCAUGAAGUCGGAAUCGCUAGUAAUCGUGGAUCAGAAUGCCACGGUGAAUACGUUCCCGGGCCUUGUACACACCGCCCGUCACACCAUGGGAGUGGGUUGCAAAAGAAGUAGGUAGCUUAACCUUCGGGAGGGCGCUUACCACUUUGUGAUUCAUGACUGGGGUGAAGUCGUAACAAGGUAACCGUAGGGGAACCUGCGGUUGGAUCACCUCCUUA
rnacentral:rRNA from 1 species